rnacentral:rRNA from 1 species
CCCUUAGAUGUCCGGGGCCGCACGCGCGCUACACUGAAGGAAUCAGCGUGGCUUUCUCCCUGACCCGAAAGGGUUGGGAAACCCGUUGAAUCUCCUUCGUGAUAGGGAUUGGGGCUUGAAAUUGUUCCCCAUGAACGAGGAAUUCCCAGUAAGCGCGAGUCAUAAGCUCGCGUUGAUUACGUCCCUGCCCUUUGUACACACCGCCCGUCGCUACUCCCGAUUGAACGGUUUAGUGAGGGCCUCGGAUUGGUCUCGGCCCGCUCUUUACCGGGCGGCGCCGUUGGUCGAGAAGACGCUCGAACUUGAUCGUUUAGAGGAAGUAAAAGUCGUAACA